UACGUAGGGGGCAAGCGUUGUCCGGAAUGACUGGGCGUAAAGGGAGUGUAGGCGGCCUUUUAAGUUAUAUGUGAAAGCCCCCGGCUUAACCGAGGAAUUGCAUCGGAAACUGUGUUUCUUGAGUGCAGAAGAGGAGAGUGGAACUCCAUGUGUAGCGGUGGAAUGCGUAGAUAUAUGGAAGAACACCAGUGGCGAAGGCGGCUCUCUGGUCUGUAACUGACGCUGAGGCUCGAAAGCAUGGGUAGCGAACAGG
rnacentral:rRNA from 1 species